rnacentral:rRNA from 1 species
UCAAGCUACUAAGGGCAUACGGCGGAUGCCUAGGCGCCAUGAGCCGAUGAAGGACGCGGUAAGCUGCGAAAAGCCACGGGGAACUGCAAGCAAGUAUUGAUCCGUGGAUAUCCGAAUGGGGAAACCCAACUACCGUCAUGGGUAGUUAUCCGAAAGGAAGGGAACCUGGGGAACUGAAACAUCUAAGUACCCGGAGGAAAAGAAAUCAAACGAGAUGCCCACAGUAGCGGCGAGCGAAGAGGGCAGAGCCCAAACCGUAAAGCUACGGCUUUACGGGGUUGAGGACCGGCAUAAUCGAAGUCAGGUCUAGCUGAACUACCUGGAAAGGUAGGCAAUAGAGUGUAAAAGCCACGUAAGCGAAAGACAGAGCGGAGAGGCCGAGAUCCAGAGUACCACGAAGCACGAGGAAUUUUGUGGGAAGCAGGGGGGACCACCCUCCAAGGCUAAAGACUAAAUGGCGACCGAUAGCGCAUAGUACCGUGAGGGAAAGGUGAAAAGAACCCCGGGAGGGGAGUGAAAGAGUACCUGAAACCGUAUGUCUACAAGCAGUCGGAGCGAAAGCGACGGCGUGCCUAUUGAAGAAUGAACCAACGAGUUACGUGCAGUAGCGAGGUUAAGUGGAAGACACGGAGCCGAAGCGAAAGCGAGUCUUAAGAGGGCGAAUAGUUGCUGUACGUAGACCCGAAACCGCAGUGAUCUACCCAUGUCCAGGUUGAAGCGCAGGUAAAAUUGCGUGGAGGACCGAACCGGUGAGCGUUGAAAAGCUUUCGGAUGAGAUGUGGGUAGAGGUGAAAUUCCAAUCGAACGCGGAGAUAGCUGGUUCUCCCCGAAAUAGCUUUAGGGCUAGCCUCAAGUAGUAAGUAUAGGCGGUAGAGCACUGAUCGGGCUAGGGGCCGUAAAGGUUACCGAACCCUGUCAAACUCCGAAUGGUUAUACUGCAAAGCUUGGGAGUCAGACUACGAGUGAUAAGAUCCGUGGUCAAAAGGGAAACAGCCCAGACCACCAGCUAAGGUCCCCAAUGCCGUACUAAGUGGAAAAGGAUGUGGGGUCUCAUAAACAACCAGGAUGUUGGCUUAGAAGCAGCCACCAUUUAAAGAGUGCGUAAUAGCUCACUGGUCGAGAGACCCUGCGCCGAAGAUUACCGGGGCUAAAGUACGGAACCGAAGCUGUGGCUACAUACUUAGGUAUGUGGGGUAGGGGAGCGUUCCCAUAGGGUUGAAGUCGUACUGUAAGGUACGGUGGACUUGUGGGAAGUGAGAAUGUUGGUAUGAGUAGCGAAAAGAAAGGUGAGAAUCCUUUCCACCGAAAGCAUAAGGAUUCCUGGGCAACGAUCGUCGUCCCAGGGUAAGUCGGGACCUAAUCCGAGGCAGAGAGCGUAGGAGAUGGACAACUGGUUGAUAUUCCAGUACCGGUGAUAAUUGUUUGAGCGAUGGAGUGACACAGGAGGGUAGGUCAGCAGGAGAUUGGUUGUUCCUGUGAAAGCGUGUAGGAUGGCAGAUAGGCAAAUCCGUCUGCUGAAAGUCUGAGGCGUGAGACGAGAUGGUAGAAAUACCGUCGAAGUGAUUGACCCCACACUGUCGAGAAAAGCUUCUAGUGAGAUUAUAACCGCCCGUACCGUAAACCGACACAGGUAUGCGGGGAGAGAAUCCUAAGGUGCGCGGGAGAACCCUCGUUAAGGAACUCGGCAAAAUGUACCCGUAACUUCGGGAUAAGGGUAGCCGCUGUUGUGAAGUCUGAACAGAUGGAGCAUAAGGCGGUCGCAGAGAAGAGGCCCAAGCGACUGUUUACCACAAACACAGGUGCCUGCUAAAGCGAAAGCUGACGUAUAGGUGCUGACACCUGCCCAGUGCCGGAAGGUUAAGGAAGGAUGUCCGGAGUAAUCCAAAGCAUUCGACCGAAGCCCCGGUGAACGGCGGCCGUAACUAUAACGGUCCUAAGGUAGCGAAAUUCCUUGUCGGGUAAGUUCCGACCCGCACGAAAGGUGU